rnacentral:rRNA from 1 species
GUGCACCAGGCGCGAAACCUCCGCAAUGCGGGAAACCGCGACGGGGGGACCCCGAGUGCCGUGGCAACGCCACGGCUUUUCCGGAGUGUAAAAAGCUCCGGGAAUAAGGGCUGGGCAAGGCCGGUGGCAGCCGCCGCGGUAAUACCGGCGGCCCGAGUGGUGGCCGCUAUUAUUGGGCCUAAAGCGUCCGUAGCCGGGCCCGUAAGUCCCUGGCGAAAUCCCACGGCUCAACCGUGGGGCUUGCUGGGGAUACUGCGGGUCUUGGGACCGGGAGAGGCGGGGGGUACCCCUGGGGUAGGGGUGAAAUCCUAUAAUCCCAGGGGGACCGCCAGUGGCGAAGGCGCCCCGCUGGAACGGGUCCGACGGUGAGGGACGAAGGCCAGGGGAGCAAACCGGAUUAGAUA